rfam:Danio rerio chromosome 4, GRCz11 reference primary assembly.
GCAUUGGUGGUUCAGUGGUAGAAUUCUCGCCUGCCGCGCGGGAGACCCGGUUUCGAUUCCCAGCCAAUGCA